rnacentral:rRNA from 1 species
GACGAACGCUGGCGGCGUGCUUAACACAUGCAAGUCGAACGAGAGCGUAGAGAAAGCUUGCUUUUUCUACAAUCUAGUGGCAAACGGGUGAGUAACGCGUAAACAACCUGCCCUACGGAUGGGGACAACAGCUGGAAACGGCUGCUAAUACCGAAUACGUUCCGAAAGUCGCAUGACUAUCGGAAGAAAGGAUGGCCUCUAUUUAUAAGCUAUCGCCGGAGGAGGGGUUUGCGUCUGAUUAGCUAGUUGGAGGGGUAACGGCCCACCAAGGCGACGAUCAGUAUCCGGUCUGAGAGGAUGAACGGCCACAUUGGAACGGAGACACGGUCCAGACUCCUACGGGAGGCAGCAGUGGGGAAUCUUCCGCAAUGGGCGAAAGCCUGACGGAGCAACGCCGCGUGAGUGAAGACGGCCUUCGGGUUGUAAAGCUCUGUUAUACGGGACGAAUAAUCUUGUGGUUAAUACCCAUGAGAAGUGACGGUACCGUAAGAGAAAGCCACGGCUAACUACGUG